UGGGGAAUAUUGGACAAUGGAGGCAACUCUGAUCCAGCAAUUCUGUGUGUGUGAAGAAGGUUUUAGGACUGAAAAACACUUUUAGUAGGGAAGAAAGAAAUGACGGUACCUACAGAAGAAGCGACGGCUAAAUACGUGCCAGCAGCCGCGGUAAUACGUAUGUCGCGAGCGUUAUCCGGAAUUAUUGGGCUUAAAGGGCAUCUAGGCGGUUAAACAAGUUGAAGGUGAAAACCUGUGGCUCAACCAUAGGCUUGCCUACAAAACUGUAUAACUAGAGUACUGGAAAGGUGGGUGGAACUACACGAGUAGAGGUGAAAUUCGUAGAUAUGUGUAGGAAUGCCGAUGGUGAAGAUAACUCACUGGACAGCAACUGACGCUGAAGUGCGAAAGCUAGGGGAGCAAACAGG
rnacentral:rRNA from 1 species